rnacentral:lncRNA from 1 species
UCCGAUUGAUCCUCUCGUCCAUCGCUGGCAUCCCUUUUUCCUCCUCUUCUUUCUCCCUCUCUCCUUCCUUCUCAUCCAUUUCCCCUUCUCCCCUUCCUCCUCUUUCUCCCUUCUCAUUUCUUCUCCUCCCCUUUCUCCACCCAUUCCUCUAUCUCCUCUCCUUCUUCUCUUUCCAUUUCUCUUUCAUAUCUUCCUCCUCCAAGUCAUCCAUAAAUCAUUCUUCUCCAUGGUGGCCUCCGCCUCC